CUCCCUUAUAGCGGCGGACUGGUGAGUAACGCGUGGGUGACCUACCUUAGGGCUGGGGAUAGCCGCUAGAAAUAGCGGGUAAUACCGAAUACUGUUAUCCGGCUGUGGCCGGGUAAAGAAAGGGGCUUUGGCCCCGCCUUUAGAUGGGCCCGCGAUUCCAUUAGCUAGUUGGUGAGGUAAAGGCCCACCAAGGCGAUGAUGGGUAGCCGGCCUGAGAGGGUGAACGGCACACUGGGACUGAGAUACGGCCCAGACUCCUACGGGAGGCAGCAGCUAAGAAUAUUCCGCAAUGGACGAAAGUCUGACGGAGCGACGCCGCGUGGAUGAAGAAGGCCGAAAGGUUGUAAAGUCCUUUUAUUGCUGAAGAAUAAGCGCAGGAGGGAAUGCCUGUGUGAUGACGUUAGGCAAUGAAUAAGCCCCGGCUAAUUAC
rnacentral:rRNA from 1 species